rnacentral:rRNA from 1 species
UACGUAGGGUGCGAGCGUUAAUCGGAAUUACUGGGCGUAAAGCGUGCGCAGGCGGUUGGUUAAGUCUGAUGUGAAAGCCCCGGGCUCAACCUGGGAAUGGCAUUGGAAACUGGCUGGCUAGAGUGUGGCAGAGGGGGGUGGAAUUCCGCGUGUAGCAGUGAAAUGCGUAGAGAUGCGGAGGAACACCGAUGGCAAAGGCAGCCCCCUGGGCUAGCACUGACGCUCAGGCACGAAAGCGUGGGGAGCAAACAGG